GGUGCGUAAGACCAGUCUCCAAAAGCUCCCUUCUGUUCAAAAGUCUAUCAGAUGAACAAUCUUCUUCCUGAUGCAAACAGAGAUUGCGUACAUUAAAUUAAGUAAUGAGUCCGACUACUAGCAUAAGAUUAAUUAAUACUUCAACGAGACAGUAAAGAAAUUUUGAAAAUUUAAGGGUAAAGCUGCACAUUUUAUCGGAUGAUACAAUAUUCUACCACUUAUGAACUCCUUGAAGAUUUUAUUUUUUGUCAAACGAUAAAUUUGUCAAAUUAGGGAGCCGAUAGGGUUUGAACCCAUGUUAUGGUGCAAAGGUCAACACUCCUCUCCACCACUGUGGUAGAGGGCCACUUGCCCUUGAAGAAGAACUCUUUUAAGUGCUAUAGAAUAUUGGCCACAUACUCUACUCCAAACUUGGCUCAACGCUUUCAUUUCUUUUCUAGUCUUUGUCUGGGUGAUGAAUUGUCAAGUGGUAAGCGAUAGUGACUAAAUUAGUAAGAAAUGAAUUGCAAAGAGUUAUCGGAAUCACCAAUUUAUGAUAAACAAAUAAAAUAAUGUUUAAUUAGAUUAAUAAUCCUAUAGUGAUAGAGUAGUUGGAAAAUAGCUCAUGAAGUAAAAAACCUAGGAUUUAAGCCCAUGUGGUGAAGUCUGUUAGAAUUUAAACCUAAAAUUAAAAAUUUCGUCAACUCUUCGUUAAUUGGUAGCAUAUGAGGCUCACAUGGGCCUAAAUCCUAAUAGACUUCACCACAUAGGCUUAAAUCCUAAUUUUUAUCACAUGUACUAUCUUCCAACUACUCUAUCCUCAUAGGACUAGCCAUAAAAUAAUGUUAUAUUCAAACUCGAAAAUAGAAAUCUGCAGCCUGCAUAUGAGUGAGGCAAACACCAACGUGGAAUACAAAUCCAAUCCAACAUUCAAGAAAACAAAAAAAAAGGGAGAGAGGGAGGGAGAAAACGGAAAUCAAAAUCGUAAAUUUGAAGAGGAAAGAAAACUUACUGCCCAAAUGGGAACGAAAAGUUACACACUCACCAUUAUUCUUGCUUUAAUCGUGGACAAAAACAGUUUUUUUAGUUAUUGUUCAAAUUCCUGCUAAACUCAUAUCGAGUAAUGCUCAUCUAAGGGGGGUGUAUUCAAUUGAGAAUGUGAGAGAUUUUAAUGGAUUUAUAAAUCCAUGGAUUUUUAUGGAGUUUAAUUGAUUUGUAGAGAUUCCAUAUAAAAUUUUGAUUCAAUUCUCUCGAAAUCUCAUGGGAAGAGGUGAGAUUUGUGGAUACUUAAAAUACACUACGAAAUCUCUCCAAUUCCCUCUAAUUCUUUAACUUUCUCAAAUUCUUUAAAAUCAAUUUCUAAUUGAAUACACUUGGAAUGUUAUAAACUUCUUUAAAAUCUUAAUUGAAUACACCUAGAUUUCUAAGGAUUUUAAUAAACUAUUUUGAAAUUCUAAUUGAAUACACCUAGAAUUUCAGAGAAUCACUUAAAAUCCUAAUUGAAUACCCCUGAAAUUAUUAAUUCCCUGAAACUCUCUCAGAAUCCUAAUUGAAUACACCCCUCUAAGAUUCUCAUUUUGAGGGUUUGUAAGGUUCCUUUUUAUUUAAACUCUUAAAUUAAUUUGACAUCAAUAACUUUAAUAUUAUUCUUGUUACACUCAAACAAAUCAUCUCAAUCCCCUCUCUUCCCUACGCAUCUCUCUCCCUUCCCCUUCCAUCUUCUUCCCCUACGCGUCAAAUGUUUUGGGCAGUUGGUUGGACGCGAGAGGCAUUCAGCCUUCUGUAUGAUGCAAAUGUUUGUUGAAUUUCAAUCACUAGGUGCCAAACUACAGAUUGUUUCUGCGUUUGCUGUUGAGCACAUCAAGGGUUUUGUUCUCAUCGAACCUGACAAGAAAUCUGAUAAUAAUGAGGUGAUCUUUCCUUGUUUAGCCAAAUACUAUUCUUAAUCUUAAUAUACUAAUAUAUGCACUGCUACUCACACGAAAAGCGUAGAUGGAGAGGGAGGGGGAGAAGGGAGAGAGGGAUUGAUUGAGAAGGUUUUUGUGAAAUUGGAGGGAGCGAAACCGUUCAGUUUGUGUUCAAUGUUUGCAUGAGCCGAAGACUCGUCAAUUACAGUGCAUACAAUCAUCUCACAAUGGUCAAGCAGACACAAUCAUGUCCUGUUGAUUUCAUUUAUUGCUAAAUUUCACUAAUACUUCCGUUCUAAUUAAACUUCUAUUGAAGCUUAGUUUUAUGAUUUAUCAAAAGGUCACUAGUUUAGCACUCAUGAAUUCAAAGUCAUAUCUUGAAGAAAGCCAUAAGUAACAGUCCCAAAUUUGAGUGUUGAAAACCUUGUGUCAAAUGUAGUCUAGUAAAAGUUUGUAUCAGAUUAAUAUGACACAGUAUAAAUGUCUUUGAAUUAAUUACGAAGGUAAGAUAUAGAAAAUAAAAUAUUACAUUUACUUCAAAAUCAAAAGAAGGGAAAUUAUUUUAAGGGAGACUUUGGAUGCGGUCCCUAGUUAUGAAUAGUCUUUGACUGAAACCUUGUUGGUUUUCAAUUUUUG
rnacentral:lncRNA from 1 species